rnacentral:rRNA from 1 species
GAUGAACGCUAGCGGCAGGCUUAAUACAUGCAAGUCGAGGGGCAGCACGAAUAGCAAUAUUUGGUGGCGACCGGCAAACGGGUGCGGAACACGUACGCAACCUUCCUUUAAGUGGAGAAUAGCCCGGGGAAACCCGGAUUAAUACUCCGUAACAUUAUAAAGUGGCAUCACUUAGUAAUUAUAGAUUUAUCGCUUAAAGAUGGGCGUGCGCCUGAUUAGGUAGUUGGCGGAGUAAUAGCCCACCAAGCCUGCGAUCAGUAACUGGUGUGAGAGCACGACCAGUCACACGGGCACUGAGACACGGGCCCGACUCCUACGGGAGGCAGCAGUAAGGAAUAUUGGUCAAUGGACGCAAGUCUGAACCAGCCAUGCCGCGUGGAGGAUGAAGGUCCUCUGGAUUGUAAAACUUUCUUUUUAUUUGGGAAGAAAUGUGAUUUAUUCUUUAUCACUUGACGGUACCAGAUGAAUAAGCACCGGCUAACUCCGUGCCAGCCGCCGCCGUAA